rnacentral:rRNA from 1 species
AUUGAACGCUGGCGGCAUGCUUUACACAUGCAAGUCGAACGGCAGCGCGGGCUUCGGCCUGGCGGCGAGUGGCGAACGGGUGAGUAAUACAUCGGAACGUGCCCAGUAGUGGGGGAUAGCUCGGCGAAAGCCGGAUUAACACCGCAUACGACCUGAGGGUGAAAGCGGGGGAUCUUCGGACCUCGCGCUAUUGGAGCGGCCGAUGGCAGAUUAGCUAGUUGGUGGGGUAAAGGCCUACCAAGGCGACGAUCUGUAGCUGGUCUGAGAGGACGACCAGCCACACUGGGACUGAGACACGGCCCAGACUCCUACGGGAGGCAGCAGUGGGGAAUUUUGGACAAUGGGCGAAAGCCUGAUCCAGCAAUGCCGCGUGUGUGAUGAAGGCCUUCGGGUUGUAAAGCACUUUUGGCGGGAACGAAAAGGACUGUGCCAAUACCACGGUUCGAUGACGGUACCCGCAGAAUAAGCACCGGCUAACUACGUG